GAGAACCAUAUUAUCCAAGACAUGAACCAAACUUGUGCGAUACACGUUUCUGGAAGAAUACCGAAUAAGUAAAGAGUUUAAAUUAAGUUUAGUGACCCAUUUUUCCACAACGUGUCCCAUUUCUUAUUAAAUCUCCUGCAACGUGCCAAAUUUGUUUAUUUUCGUUUUUUUUAAGUUGCCUUCAGUUUCGAUUGUAGUUUUUAGUUACUGCCGAUUUUUCUUUUAUAAGAAUCUAAGAAUUUCCAAAAAAAUAAGAAUUUUUAGUGAUUAAAAAGAAAUUACAAGCUGGGCGUGCAAAUUUGAGUAUGUUCGCCUCGUUCCUCUUCAACAUAAGUUCUAUCUUUGGCCUUUCUACAACUCCACGGCAGUUCCGUCAUCGGAAAAUCACCCUUGGGUACCUGUUUGGAGGGUCCCGUGGCAUAAUCGAUACGCGUUGGCGAGGACACCACCAAAGAGAAAAAAACCCCAAUUAAACAUGCUGCACAAAGACUAGUUUUGGUCAAGCCCCUACUAGCUGCUUCUCCAACACUGUAACCAGGAUAUUGUCCACGAGAAGCUCAACAAGGACUCGUGUUCGAUCUUGCCGGAAACAUGCACCAAGACUGCUAGGACCUGAGAAAGUCCAAGUAUGACGGCGCAACUGAAUACCAGUUAUCCGGCGCCCCAACGUCAACAACCAUCGCAAAAAGGUAAAAAAAACCUCUUGCCUCGGAAACCAUUUCCACCUGCAAAAACUGAAUCAUAUUAGUGUUUCCAGCACAUAAAUUUGGACGUUUUUCGAUCGGCAAGGAGUAAACACCCGUUGUAAACAACUUACUUUAGCUACUAAAUCAGGAUCAGCAGCUAACGGGCAACAUCCCGGAUCCCGGCGCUAAGUCACAAGCAAGUGCAUUUCAGCUUCCGGAAUCUAUUUUGAAAUAGAAUGGUGAAAAUUCCAAAUUAUUUUACCCGGCUUCAUUUUUAAACUUACAUUUUGAAAUAAGCUGAACCAGAAUCAAUUCCUCAAGACUUCUGGUCGUAUGCUGUUUCUUGUUUCCACACCUUGCAAUCGGGAAUGGGAACGGGUUUCGGAACACCGACCAGAAGUGUCCCCACUAUCGAUACAGAUUGCCAAUGUUACCAUGAAAGUGGUCCGCCGGAAAGAAACUUACAUUUCCGAGCAACCGAACUGACCCGCAGCUGCUCAUAAUUGUUUUGAUUUUGCUAGCUGUCAAUCACAAAAGCAAGCAAAACAAUUGAGAUUUUAUAUUAUUUUAGCAUUUACAUGAAACGUUUUUAGAUGUUUUUCACAGUUUACAUGUUUUUCAUCCAUUCAAAUUUGUCGGUUUUCGUAAAAAAACAAUUCAUUUACACGAGAUUUACCGAUUACGUACAAUCUAAUUUUACAUGAUGGGUGUUUAAAUGGCAUUUAACCAUUUACAUCGGAUUUCAAAUUUACAUGAAGCGAGUUUACGUCUAAAACAAAGUUUCUGUGUCGGGUAAUUUUACACUUUUUUUCUGUGAAUGACAAAUCUUGUUAUUAGGAGAGUUUUUGAAAUGUAUAAAUGUAGCCUUCCAAAGUUGGCGAAAAAGUUCGGUCCACCGGUGGACGGAUUGCGGCACAAGGAUGCAAGAGGAAUCCGUCCGCCGGUUGACGGAUUGCCUGCACAAGGUUUUGCAAGAGGAAUCCGUCCACCGGUGGACGGUUUGCCUUCCAAUGUUGGUGAAAAAGUUCGGUCCACCGGUGAACGGAUUACGGCACAAGGAUGGAUGCAAGAGGAAUCCGUCCGCCGGUGGACAGAUUGCCAUCCAAUGUUGGUGGAAAAGUUUGGUCCACCGGUGGACGGAUUACGGCACAAGAAUGCAAGAGGAAUCCGUCCGCCGGUGGACAGAUUGCCAUCCAAUGUUGGUGGAAAAGUUCGGUCCACCGGUGGACGGAUUACGGCACAAGGAUGCAAGAGGAAUCCGUCCGCCGGUGGACGGAUUGCCAUCCAAUGUUGGUGGAAAAGUUCGGUCCAUCGGUCGACGGAUUACUGGACAAGGACGCAAGAGGAAUCCGUCCGCCGGUGGACGGAUUGCCUUCCAAUGUUGGUGAAAAAGUUCGGUUCACCGGUGGAUGGAUUACUGGACAAGGAUGCAAGAGGAAUCCGUCUGCCGGUGGACGGAUUGCCUUCCUAUGUUGGCGAAAGGGUUCGGAGAAUUCUUUCCACCGGUGGACAGGUUUCGGCAAAAAUGAGAAGAGCUUUCGGAUAGGCGUUGGAUGGAUUUUUAUGGGUUAAACCCAGGGCGUGACAAUAGUAAAAAAUUAAAUAAUUUAAUUAAUUAACUGCAGAAAUUAACGAAUUAACUUUUGUUUCCGAUCAUAACAUCGCCACCUCUCUUUACAUCACAUUGGUUUGCCGAUGACGUGUGACAGUUUGACAUCUCGUGUAAUUGUUGUUGUUGCGUUUGGUGGAAUAUUUUUAUUUUUAUCUUCAAAAAGAAAAUGGCUGGCCCGUACACUGGAUCCGUUAGGAAAGGACACCGAGUUCAGGAAACCUGUUGUAGCUGGCAAGUCCAAAGCAUCGUUUCGGUUUUCAAUCAGCUGAAAACUCGUCGGAACUAAGCAAGUGGACGGAUUCGGUUGAUAAAAAGAAGCGAGGUGAUUCCGGAAGUGGUGGAGGAUGACUGCGAACUUGAAGCGAAAAAGGUAGUAAUUUAUACGAGGGUGGACAACACAAUGUCAUUCCACCCUAAGAUCGAUCCGCCGUCAGGAGAACAGGUCGUGCCUCAACGACACACAUCUGGUGCGGGGCGUACAAGCCUGAACCUGAACCUGAACGGCUACAACGCGAUCUUUAACAAAAUGGUCGUGCACCUGUAAAGUGUCCUCGUGUCAAUGGAACGAUGUUCUUCUGCGACACUGGGUACAACUUCCAGCAAUUCCGCUCCUGGUGUACAGCUUGGUGGUCCAAAUGCUGACAACUCGUGCCAUUAGAUUUGGUCAGAUUCGAUUACCAUUACCGACCGAUGUUCGCUCGAUGGAGGAUUCAGAAGACUGGACGUGUUACGGUUCAGCUGCGGAUGCUACGUGCCGGAGAAAAAAAAGUGAUUUGUUGAUUGUGACAACUCGGCUCUGGGGGUUUCAGCGUCGGCCUUCUACAAGGGCAAGCAUAAGAUGCUGGCCAGGUUGGCGAACGAGACUAACAACGCGCCGCCAAAGUACUUUAGAAGACUAAAAGAGCACGAAGCUGCUGCUGAACAUCGAGUGUUUCAUGAAUGAGAUUAACGUGUCCCCGCCGUUGCAACGACAGAUCAUGGAGCAGAUGUGCGCGGGUCUACUGCAGCGCAUCGCGGCCAGCAUUAAGAAGUUGCUGGUAGAUUCAAAGCUGACCCCGGAGGAAAUACACGUGAGCCUGAGUUUACCUAUAGCAACGUGGAGCCCUACUCAAAGUUUUUUGGUGAAUAGUCCACCACCAAACCUGUGAAAAACGGGACCCGAACCCCGACCCGCUCACCAACCCUGAUCCGACCGGCACAACUCGUCAGUAACGUCGGCCAGAUUGUCAUCACAAGCAGUCCUACCACCCAGUCGCCGUCUACUUCGACCGCCCUGAGCUGGAAUAGUCGUCGAGCGGACUCAAAAUCCACGUCUCUCAAACCCACUCCAAUCCGGCCAUCGUAUUAUCGCGCCAGAUCCAUGAGCAGCAGCAGCUUUGCAACAAUACUCUCCCCCGCCAAGCGACGCACCAGCCGAAGUUGUAGUGGCCGCCACCACUGAUUUAUUUGAUUAGAAAUACCCACCUGCGUUGCGAGCCGAACAUUCUCCAGAGGUAGCGGAGGAAGAACCUGCCAAACCGGAGUUCUUCGAAAAGAACAAAGCAACCGUCGCCAAGAUGGAACCCGAGUUUAGAAGUUCGUCCAAGGUGAGCCUCCUUGAGAACCUCUGCCGAAGGAACCGAAUCCAGUUCCAACCUAGGUUCCAACGCACAGUAAUUAUACCAGCUGAUCGCCGUGCCGGCGGAAACUUCGACGGACCUGCGAUCGUGCUGAUUGUGGAAGCAUAAACACAAGCAGAUCAUUCUUUAUUUAUUGUUUCAAUUCCAACAACUCAAAGCCAAAAGUACCUACAUGCAGCUGAAUAAAAAAAAACGAAAUAAAUAAAUAAUUAUUGCACUUAUUUUUUUUUAUUUGCUAUUAGCAUCGACCUUUUUCGGGGCAAAAACGACAGUGCAACCGCCCAUCGAUGUGGCUACGGGGAAUUCCCUUGUUCAAAGAAACCGCAGCCCAUGUCGUCCUCGCAUUCGGGCUAUUCCAUCUUCUAAUCCUUUUUCUUCUCCUCGGCGGCAAUGACGGGCACAGCACCACCGGACGACAUCGAGGACUGGUUCUCGCGGCCGGAAGCGAUCAGUUUCUCGAUGACCUCCUUGUUGAUGCGGGUUGAGUCAGCCUCGAGACCGACCGAGCGGCAUUUCGAAACCUUUUGUAGCUACCAGCAACCGAAAUUUACUAAUUCCUUUCGGAAACAUUCGCGAAAAUAAAUUAAAAACAAUAACAAAUGACCGGCAUCUCCUCAUUUUUGAGCAAGAGCAAAUCAAUACAAACUUGACAGGCGGGUGUGCGAAGGAGACGCAAAACAAAUCAAUGUUUUCGACAAAGCAAAUAUAUUAAGGCCAGUUUCGCGCCCCUCGAUCCAGGGUUAAACUAAUAUUGACUUU